rfam:Pseudoalteromonas atlantica T6c, complete genome.
CUAACUUAUAUUUAAUAACACACAUACAUCGACACAGUUUUCGGGGUGUUUGUGCAAGAUUCGUCUGCACAGAUCGAGACCUGGGAUGUAUGGAGGCCUAAC